AGGAGGUGAUAAGAGGGCCAAAGAAAGGAGAGAGGGGGAGGUGGAAAAGGCCUGAAGUAGAGCCAGCCACAAGUUGGCCCCGGUCACUUCCAUCUAUCCCUUUCAAGCCCCACAUCCCAGUUGAGCGCCUAAUUGCUCCCUAAAGUCUGUAGCCCUCCAGGGUACAGCUGACACAGCGCGACUUAAAUCAAUUAGUCGGAGGCUGGAGGAGAUAAAGACCCCAGCCAGACCCAAGGACUGUAACCAGAGCCUUUAGGGUAGAUCAGCUGUGUUCCGAGGCUUACCGGGUAUCUAAAGUAGGGACGACCAACCUAGCAAAGUGCUCUGCUCCCCGCCCCCCUUCUCAAUAGGGGUGAGUAGUUCAGCCUUCCCAGCAGAAAGCCAGCUCAUCCGCGGACUUGAUGCCAGGCCCUCUGCACCAGCGGGAGCCACGGGACCAUUGUGGUGCCUUGCUAUACCAGACUGCUGUCUCUGGCAGUGAUAAAGGCAGACAGCUGGCACGGGAGGGAGCCUAAAAUAACUCAGACAGCUGGGCAAGGGGGGUGUCACGGGCCCAGGCUCUGGGCUGAAAAUCAAGACACCUGGAACCCUGUCCAGGCUCUGCCCCGUGGUGGCCUCAUAACCUUGGGUGAGAGACAUUUUCUUCUCUUGGGGCUAUUGGUGGGUGGCCCUUAAAUCCCGACCCAACCACAGGGACAGCCCACGGAGCCCGGGGAACAGCCUGGACUCAAACGCUUAGAAGAAAAACAGGGCUGGCUGCCUUCCCAAGCAAAGCUAGUUUUCUUUCUCCUUUGCCUGGAGGCUGCAGCACGUGCUUCAGGAAGUGGGCUGGCGGGGAGGAGCCCUGGCUGGAGCCAGCCCAGCCCCCACCCGCGCAGGCAGCAACCACUCCCAGCAACAAUCCUUAUCACAAUGGAGGCCAACUGGUUGUGAGGUCAGAGCCGGAGUCUGGCCCCCUUAAUCUCACUUAAUCCUCCCACCAACCUUUUCCAGCAGGUACUGUGGUCUUUUUAACCGGGGGAGGGGGGGAGAGAGGCACUGGUCCAAGGUCACUAGCUCGGUUCACAUUUAACCUACAGCUGCCAGACUUGGAAACAUCCCUGAUUAGGCACCAACCUGCCUCCAGCAACAACGGAGGGAAGCCUUCCAGGCUCCCCAACUCACACGUCAGCACUCACUGUAGGGGCGAGGAGAAAAGAGAAGACAAGAGGCUGGAAGCUGAGGCCCAAAUGGGGGAAGCCAGCAGGGGCGGCGGCACCUGCGGCCAAAUGGCUUAUCAAAGUAACAUAACCAGAAACACUCUAGGGGGGCCAGGGGGUCAGGGAUCAAGGGCCACACCAGUUUCAGCAGCAAAGCUUCCUGCCUAGGAGGAGGGCAAGCCAACUGCUAGCCACCAAGCUGGGGACAUCCCAGGUGUCAACCUACUAGGGAGAGUCUAGAAACCCGGCGGUACCUGGAACCUUGUUAAGAAGAGCAAGUUCUUAGAUGUAACUGCCUAAGAGGGAAAACUCGAGAAACGGGCACAGUCGGCUUUACUGGGUCCCACCACUGACUUCUGAUGCCGGUGCAGCUGGGGAGGCCCUGCUCAGAGACGACACACAGACCUCGUUGACUGUGUAAGAUCACUACAGACAGGGAAAGGGCCAGCCCUCCGUUCAUGUCACAUUCUAGAAGCCAGGCUACGGUCGCCUGGCCUUGUUGAGAGCUCGGAUCCAGGAAAAGGAGAAGCCAAGGAAAUCUUUGCUCUCUCGGGAAGCUGGCUACCACACUUCAGAUCGUUUGCUGCUUCGCCUAUCCAGCAAGGCAGACAUCAGAAGCGGGGCUCAGCUGGUCCCCCCCCCACACACAAUGGGGUUCAGGGAGAAUGUCUGAAGCACUACUGGCAAACCUGACAGCAGUCCCGGUCUUCAGAAGUUUCCGGGGCCCUCCCAAGCCACCAUAAACCACACCACUGGGAAAUA
rnacentral:lncRNA from 1 species